UUGCCCUGCUGGGUUUUGGACUUGCUUGGGGCUUUUAACUCUUAUUUUUGAUUCUUUCUCCCUUUUGGAAUGGGAAUGUCUCUCCUAUACCUGUAACACCAUUUUAUCUUGAAAGUAGAUAACUUGCCUCAAUUUCAGAGGUUUACAAGUAAGACUCUUGAAUUUGGACUUUUGAACUGAUGCUGAUGCUGAAAGGAGUUAAGUCUUCAGGGUUAUGAGGGUGGAAAAAAACGUAUAUGUAUUUAAAAUUGUGAGAAAGACAUACGUUUUGGAGCUCCAAGGGCAGAACGCUAUGGCAUGAAAGUUUGUUCCCUCUGAAAUUCAUGUUGCAUGAGUUUUGUCCCCAAUGUGACAGUAUCGAGAGGUGAGGCCUUCAAGAGGUAACUGGAUCAUAGCCCUGAUGAGGAAAUUUAUCAAUUAAUGGAUUAAUGGAUUAAUGAGUUGUCAUGGGAGAGAUAUUAGUGGUUUCACAAGAAGAGAAAGAGAGACCUGAGCUAGCACACUUUGCCCCUUCACCAUGAGAAGCCCCUUCACUAUCUCGAGACUCGACAGAGUCUCCACCAGCAAGGAGACGCUCACCAGAUAUGGACCCUCAACCUUGAAAUGCUCAUCUCCAUACUGCUUUGAAAUAGUCAUGAAACUAUACAUUUCACAAGAUCAGAGUCAUAUGGUACACAUCUACCAGUAAAGCAAUAAUACAAGAGGAAAUCACCAAGGGAAUGAGCCUAGACCAAGAAGGGUACUACAAACUGGGUCUGAAGCACUGUGAAUAGUGGAAGAAGAGCAAUACAUAAAACCUGUUUCAGAGAAUGAGUGACAAGUUUUGUUGGGUCAAAUACAGCAACUGCUCAUGUGUAACUGCUAUUGAUUCCAUGUUUGUAUCCCUCCAAAAUUUAUAUGUUCAAGUUCUAACCCCCAGUAUGACGGCAUUCGGAGGUGGGGCUUUUGAAAGCUAAAGCCCUCAUUAUGGGAUUAAAGUCCUUAAAAACAGGGAAGAGACAAGAGAUCUUUCUUCACUAUAUGAGGAUGCAGUGAGUAGAUGGAUGUUUGUAAACUAAGAAGUUGACCUUCACCAAGGAUCCACUCAGGUUGCCACAUGGAUCUCAGACUCCUAGCCUCCAGAACUGUGAGUAUUUUUGUCUU